UUGAUCCUGGCUCAGGAUGAACGCUGGCGGCGUGCCUAAUACAUGCAAGUAGAACGCUGAAGCUUGGUGCUUGCACCGAGCGGAUGAGUUGCGAACGGGUGAGUAACGCGUAGGUAACCUGCCUCUUAGCGGGGGAUAACUAUUGGAAACGAUAGCUAAUACCGCAUAAAAGACGAUAUCGCAUGAUAUUGAUUUGAAAGGUGCAAUUGCAUCACUAAGAGAUGGACCUGCGUUGUAUUAGCUAGUUGGUGAGGUAACGGCUCACCAAGGCGACGAUACAUAGCCGACCUGAGAGGGUGAUCGGCCACACUGGGACUGAGACACGGCCCAGACUCCUACGGGAGGCAGCAGAAGGGCGAAUUCGU
rnacentral:rRNA from 1 species